AAUUUUUCUGCUGCAGAAGUUGUUUUAUUGGAUUUUUUUUCACUGAACUGAAGUCAAUAGAAACUGCUUUGAAAUCAAAGCAUUUCUUCAGGGCAAUAAGGCUUCAUUUAUUGUUUGGAGCUGUGCAACUCCGAGUAACUUCGAUCAUCUUAUAAGCACAUGGGGCAAAAACUUUGCAACAAAAGUACAAGGAUAGAAAACCAGAAAGAGUAAAUGGAAAUAGGUAGCUAAAUACAGAGCAGCUGGUUUUACCCAUCAGUAGUCUUGGCAGGGGAGGGUGAACCUAACAAUACCUUUUUCCCAUCUCUCCAUCCUUAUUUCUUCCAACCUAACACAAAUCAACCCUCCUAAAUUUGUGUCAGCGUAAACUCAUGGGACCAAUAAUCUCAGCUAAAAACAUGGGAUAUGUGAAGAUUGUCCUAAUUCUGAUCUUGUUCUCAGGAGAUGAUGCUGAUGAGAAUCUAUGGGGAGAAACAAGGAGCAGUUCAUUAUAAACAGGCAACUCUCAUUG
rnacentral:lncRNA from 1 species